UACGAAGGGAGCUAGCGUUGUUCGGAAUCACUGGGCGUAAAGCGCACGUAGGCGGUUUGUUAAGUCGGAUGUGAAAGCCCUCGGCUCAACUGAGGAAGUGCACCCGAAACUGGCAGGCUUGGAGUACUAAAGAGGGUCGCGGAAUUCCCGGGUGUACGAGGUGAAAUUCGUAGAUAUCGGGAGGAACACCAGUGGCGAAGGCGGGCAUCUGGCCAACACUGACGCUGAGGCGCGAAAGCUAGGGGAGCAAACAGG
rnacentral:rRNA from 1 species